UACGGGGGGAGCAAGCGUUGUUCGGAUUUACUGGGCGUAAAGGGCGCGUAGGCGGCCACCGCAAGUCGACUGUGAAAUCUCCGGGCUUAACUCGGAAAGGUCAGCCGAUACUGCGAGGCUAGAGUGCAGAAGGGGCAACUGGAAUUCUCGGUGUAGCGGUGAAAUGCGUAGAUAUCGAGAGGAACACCUGCGGCGAAGGCGGGUUGCUGGGCUGACACUGACGCUGAGGCGCGAAAGCGUGGGGAGCAAACAGG
rnacentral:rRNA from 1 species